rnacentral:rRNA from 1 species
AAAACAAACCUACGGGAGGCAGCAGUGGGGAAUAUUGGACAAUGGGCGAAAGCCUGAUCCAGCAAUGCCGCGUGAGUGAUGAAGGCCUUAGGGUUGUAAAGCUCUUUUACCCGGGAUGAUAAUGACAGUACCGGGAGAAUAAGCUCCGGCUAACUCCGUGCCAGCAGCCGCGGUAAUACGGAGGGAGCUAGCGUUGUUCGGAAUUACUGGGCGUAAAGCGCGCGUAGGCGGUUACUCAAGUCAGAGGUGAAAGCCCGGGGCUCAACCCCGGAACUGCCUUUGAAACUAGGUGACUAGAAUCUUGGAGAGGUCAGUGGAAUUCCGAGUGUAGAGGUGAAAU